GAACUUGGCUGAGUUGUGGAGGAGGACUUCUUGCAGAAGAAGAUCUGGGCCUGCUCUCGGCACUCUCCAAGACACUCCUGUACCCUGGAGACGGCCCUUGGCACAAAUGCCCCAGCUGCAAUCUGAAAGACCAACGCCCCCAAGGCCUGAGAACACAUGGGCAGGUAGCGGGAACCCUGGAGGCCCGAAAUCGAGUGAGGCCAGAAGAGGUGGCUCAAACCUGUGAUCCUCGCACGCUGGAGGCUGAGGUGGGAGAUCACUUGAGCUCAGGAGUUCCAGACCAGCUGGAGCAAGAGUGAGAUCCCAUCUCUACUAAAAAUAGAAAAACUAGCUGAGCACCAUGGAGGGUGCCUAUAGUCCCAGCUACCUGGGAAGCUGGAGCAGGAAGAUCACUUGAAUCCAGGAGUUUGAGGUUGCUGUGAGCUAGGCUGAGGCCACGCACUCUAGCCUGGGCAACAGAGGGAGACUCUGUCUCAAAAAUAAGACAAUAAAAAAUAUGGCUUGUGGUGUUGACUUAACAGGACAAGAGGGGCCCUGCCUGUCAACGUCACAGGGAGGUUUCCUCUGCUGAGAGAUAGGGUCAGCCCUCUGCAGAGCAGGGGAACCCGGGAAUCCAGUUGGUAGGACAGUGAUUCCCUGCCCCCAGCAUCCACCCCCACAGUGGCCCAAGCUAGGAUUCCAGCCAGCCAUGGGCAUAUCCAGGAGCUCCCACCAUUCUGUGUUCUAGGCAACUCUAUUAAAGGAAUACUUUUCCUUCCACAAAACGUCCCUGCGUUUUUACUUGGAGGUGUAUACAUCAGAUGGGAGGCAGUGGGUCCACCUGGCGUCCCUGGAUUCUGAAAUGUCCUGACUGUUGCUCACAGGUGUCCACA